AUGUACAUUCAUACAGUCAUUCAUACAUUCAUACAGUUGUGUACAUUCAAGUGUUUUUAUAUCUAGAGGUAAAAGGAAUCUGUGAUGCAUGUGAUUUAAUUUAAACGUUUAUUCUUCGUCAGAUAAUUUCAAAGUGAAUUUCUUGGUAAGCAAUUGAAUUUGAAUUUAAAAUUAAAAUCAAAAUCUGGAGUGUUUUCUCGGCGAGAUGGAACGGACACGCGUCUUCGGAGGCCUGCGUGAGAAGCUGCCGACGACCUUGCCUUUGAUGCUAAUCUGACAUCUUCAAAAUUUAUCAGUGAAAUUGUAACAUUUUCGGGCAAAUUCUUGCAUUUUUCCCUUCCAUUUCUGCUCUUUUCGUUUCAAAAUUACUGACAUUUUCGUUCCCAAAAUUCCAGCUUCCGUUUUCUGCAAAAUUUUCACUUUUUCACAAAUUCUGCUCCUUUCCUCCCUUUUUUCUCCUUAAAUUUUCCCCACAUUUUCGAUUCCUUAUUCCCCAACAUUUAUUUCAUUCCUGCUGCUUUCUCCCCCAAUUCCCGUAGCGCAUUACUCCCAUCGCCACUAUACCCUCGUUCGUGCUGCUGCCAAUUCCCACUGCCCUCAUUCCCAUUCCCGCCGCCUUGGACUCCAAUUUGUGGAGAUCAUCUCUCCGUGCUAAGGGUUCAUCGGCCCAAAAAAAUGGUCCUUCACCUCUAGACUUAAGGAUUCACAUCUGCCUCACCAUAGUGCCCUAACACCACAGUGUCCUGACACCAUAUAGUGCCCUAACACCUUAGUGGUAUAACACCAUAGUGUCAUAAAUAACACCGACACAUCGCCUUAUCUUCUUCCUUUUGUAGGCAGCUGUGACCCGGAAGUUCUUCAUUGAUAUUCUCCUUAAAGCUCACUGAAAAUUUCACAGAAAAUCUCGCUGAAAAUCUCACUGAAAAGCUCACUGAAAAUUUCACCGAAAAUUUCACUGAAAAUCUCACUGAAAAGCUCACCGAAAAUUUCACUGAAAAACUCAAUGAAAAUCUCAAUAUUGAAAGAAAAUUUGCAAUAUCAAGUUCCACACUUCAGUGGAAUGGCCAGAAAUGACGGAUGUGUUAAGAAAAUGAAUGUAUUGCUUGCCAGUUUUAACGUAUGACCGUUACAGUGAAGGUGUUACUAAAUGAUGAAACAAUGAAGACACGGUUAAUAAUGAAGCAUGGUAGAAACAAUGUAGGUGUUGCUACUAGUGACGUAUAAAGAACUCAUUUUGUGUGCCUUUACGUGAUCUGUGGUGACUUCUGAACGCUUGUGCCUUUAAUUAGGCUUCGAUUUUACAGCAGUUGUAUUGCACUAUACAUAUAAUGCACCGUGAUGAAAAAUUUAUGAACAUUAUAUUUGCUUUACACAAUGAAAUGAGCGUAAAUGAUACGCUUAUCAUGACUCACGAGUGGACUUUCGAGACCUGCUAUGGUGGACGCAAGUUUGUCACGCGAGAAGUUCGGUGAUUGAAGCCAUUCCUUUCUUUUGUUUACUUCGCACAAAAGUUCAAGGAGUUUUGCUUUAGUUUAUCCUUCUCACGCACUGAAAUUAUCAUGCUUUAUAUAAAAGCUGGUUAAUUUCGGUCGCAGCGAUAACUUUUCCUAUUUGAAAGGCACACAUUUAAACUUUUCUUAUCCGUGCUGCACUUAAUCGACGAAAAAUUAAUGUGACGAUCAACGAAAAAUUACUGUAACUCACCAAUAAUGUAAUUGACUACGGCAACGAAAACCAUGUUCGAGAAAACUUUACCAAAUGAACGCCUCGUUGGCACUUAUGUCUACAGAAUCCAGCAAAACUUCGCUGUUAUUAAGAUCCACAAUCCUUUUGCGUCUUCGUAUCCACCGUCUUCUUGCAACAUCCACCAGCUGAGGCAUGGGGCUAGCGUAUGUCCAUCGCCAUACCAAUACAAUAUACUGCUCAGAAACAACAAUAAACCAAUACAAUAUACGGCUCAGUGGCAACAAUAAACCAAUACAAUAUACUGCUCAGAAACAGCAAUAAACCAAUACAAUAUACGGCUCAG